AUGGCAUCACUGGUGGUGUGCCUGGGACAUGGCAGACAGUCCAAAAGAAAGGCUCUGAGGUGCUUGGGAUCAAGGAACUAGAAACAAAGACACACAGAAAGGAAGAACAAAAUGGCUGUUAGCAAGAAACCUGUGCAUCUGGAACAUGUAAGGGGAUAGGUGAUGUAAACAGCAGUGAUAAAUGUGCUCAGGCCGCAGCAGCAGGAUAUACACGACGCCUGGAUUCACCAUUUCUCUCCCCCAAUCCCCACUUCACUAAUACAUUGUUUAUUGACAAGGAACAUCAUAUUUCUUCCAAGA